AGUGAACGCUGGCGGUAGGCCUAACACAUGCAAGUCGAACGGCAGCACAGUAAGAGCUUGCUCUUACGGGUGGCGAGUGGCGGACGGGUGAGGAAUACAUCGGAAUCUACUUUUUCGUGGGGGAUAACGUAGGGAAACUUACGCUAAUACCGCAUACGACCUACGGGUGAAAGCAGGGGAUCUUCGGACCUUGCGCGAUUGAAUGAGCCGAUGUCGGAUUAGCUAGUUGGCGGGGUAAAGGCCCACCAAGGCGACGAUCCGUAGCUGGUCUGAGAGGAUGACCGGCCACACGGGAACGGAACCGCGCUCCAGCCUCCUCGGGGAGCAAGCGGGGGGGAAUAUUGGACAAGGGGGGAAGGCCUGAUCCACCAAUCCCGGGGGGGUGAAGAAGGCUUUCGGUUUGUAAACCCUUUUUUUGGGGAAAAAAAAGCAGCGGUUUAAUCCCCCGCUGUUCUGACGGUACCAAAAAAAUAAGCACCGCCUAACUUCGUC
rnacentral:rRNA from 1 species